CGUGAGACAGGUGCUGCAUGGGCUGUCGUCAGCUCGUGUCGUGAGAUGUUGGGUUAAGUCCCGCAACGAGCGCAACCCUUGUCUUUAAUUGCCAUCAUUCAGUUGGGCACUUUAAAGAGACUGUCGGUGUUAAACCGGAGGAAGGUGGGGAUGACGUCAAGUCCUCAUGGCCUUUAUGCCCAGGGCUACACACGUGCUACAAUGGGUGGUACAAAGAGCAGCAAGCUCGCGAGAGCAAGCGAAUCUCAAAAAGCCAUCCUCAGUUCGGAUUGAAGUCUGCAACUCGACUUCAUGAAGUCGGAAUCGCUAGUAAUCGCGGAUCAGCAUGCCGCGGUCGAAUACGUUCCCGGGCCUU
rnacentral:rRNA from 1 species